ACGUACCCAUCGGCAACCGGCCCGAGGCGUAUACGCUGUCGAUCACCUGAACUCGUGCAGGGGAACCCGGUGCAACUCCGGGGCUGACCCGCAACCGUGACGUCCGUGCAGGGCGAAGUCGGAAUGCCUGCCCGGUUUCCGGCUCUCACA
rnacentral:ncRNA from 1 species